UACGUAGGGGGCAAGCGUUGUCCGGAUUUAUUGGGCGUAAAGAGCUCGUAGGUGGUUCGGUAAGUCGGAUGUGAAAUCUCCAGGCUCAACCUGGAGGGGUCAUUCGAUACUGCCGUGACUAGAGUUCGGUAGGGGAGUGUGGAAUUCCUGGUGGAGCGGUGAAAUGCGCAGAUAUCAGGAAGAACACCCGUGGCGAAGGCGGUUCUCUGGGACGGUACUGACGCUGAGACGCGAAAGCGUGGGGAGCGAACAGG
rnacentral:rRNA from 1 species